rnacentral:rRNA from 1 species
UGCCAGACUCCUACGGGAGGCAGCAGUGGGGAAUAUUGCACAAUGGGGGAAACCCUGAUGCAGCGACGCCGCGUGAGCGAUGAAGUAUUUCGGUAUGUAAAGCUCUAUCAGCAGGGAAGAAAAUGACGGUACCUGACUAAGAAGCCCCGGCUAACUACGUGCCAGCAGCCGCGGUAAUACGUAGGUGGCAAGCGUUAUCCGGAUUUACUGGGUGUAAAGGGCGUGUAGGCGGGACUGCAAGUCAGAUGUGAAACCCAUGGGCUCAACCCCGGACCUGCAUUUGAAACUGUUGGUCUUGAGUAUCGGAGAGGCAGGCGGAAUUCCUAGUGUAGCGGUGAAAUGCGUAGAUAUUAGGAGGAACACCAGUGGCGAAGGCGGCCUGCUGGACGACAACUGACGGUGAGGCGCGAAAGCGUGGGGAGCAAACAGGAUUAGAUACCCGAGUA